rnacentral:rRNA from 1 species
UACGGGGGGGGCAAGCGUUGUUCGGAAUUACUGGGCGUAAAGGGCGCGUAGGCGGCCUGCUAAGUCGGAUGUGAAAUCCCUCGGCUUAACCGGGGAACUGCGUCUGAUACUGGAUGGCUUGAGUUUGGGAGAGGGAUGCGGAAUUCCAGGUGUAGCGGUGAAAUGCGUAGAUAUCUGGAGGAACACCGGUGGCGAAGGCGGCAGCCUGGACCAACACUGACGCUGAGUGAGCGAAAGCCAGGGGAGCAAACGGG